CAGAAUCAGAAAAAUACCCUCUCUGACUGCAGUAAUGCAAAGUACGGGAGAAUAAAGCCAGACAUACAAUUGUAGUGACCAGGCCUGGGCCCGGACAAAAGAGGACAAAGUUCACCUCCCUCCUUUCCUUGAACAGGCACCAUCAUUGCCCCACCCAGGAGAAGCUGGUCACCUGGAAUCUCAGGACCAUGCUCUUUAACUCAGCCUUUCAUAAUCAACAUCUUCCCAGCUCCCUCAAUCGUCUUUACCCUCUGACUGGACACUAAACUCCUCACAAAGCCUUCCUGUAUAGAGGUCUAGGAUCUGAAUUUUCCAGAUUGCUGGGCUGGUAUCUUUUGAGCAGCCAUGAAGUCAUUUAGGAGGUUGCAGGGCAUUUCAAGACAGACUUGACACAAUCACAACUUUACCUGCAAACAGGAGCUUCACAAGUGGCUUUUUCCAAUCCCCUACUUCAUGCCACAGAUAUUAGAGACCCAGAAAAGAAAGCUCUUCUCACGGAAGUCCUUGGCACUGCCAAAUGCUGCAACAUUAGAAAGAGAUGUGGGUUUAUUAAUGGAAAUGACACAUAAAAAAUAAUCCGUGGCCACCUGCUUUGAUACUGUGCCCUAAGGAUUAUGGGAUCUUUCCAUACGACUUGAAGCUGACACCUCCUGCAUAUGCUGUCUCCUCCUAUUAGAAUGUAAGCUCCUUGAGGGCAGGGGC